rnacentral:rRNA from 1 species
GUGAGGAAUAUUGGUCAAUGGACGAGAGUCUGAACCAGCCAAGUCGCGUGAAGGAAGACGGUUCUAUGAAUUGUAAACUUCUUUUGUGCAGGAAUAAAGUGGGUUACGUGUAACCUUUUGUAUGUACUGUACGAAUAAGGAUCGGCUAACUCCGUGCCAGCAGCCGCGGUAAUACGGAGGAUCCGAGCGUUAUCCGGAUUUAUUGGGUUUAAAGGGUGCGGAGGUGGAUUGAUAAGUCAGCGGUGAAAGUUUGCAGCUUAACUGUAAAAUUGCCGUUGAAACUGUCGGUCUUGAGUGCAAAUGAGGUAGGCGGAAUGUGUUGUGUAGCGGUGAAAUGCUUAGAUAUAACACAGAACUCCGAUUGCGAAGGCAGCUUACUGGGAUGCAACUGACACUGAUGCACGAAAGCGUGGGUAUCAAACAGGAUUAGAUACCCCAGUAGUCC